rnacentral:misc_RNA from 1 species
UAUCUAGCCACUUAAUUGUCUGGUUUAUUCUAAAGAGGGUCAAAAUUUAUAAGACGGUCAUCAUAUUUUUAUUGGAUAAUAUAUGUAUAAAAUUUAUUGAUCUUGUGUUAAAGUAUAAAGUAUAUUGAUGUUAUUAUGGAAAAUAAAUAUUUUACAAUUACUACAACUGUUUACAAAUGUAUUACCGAUUUGUUGUAGAAGUUUGUGAAAUAACCAGAUGCUUACGAAUAUUAAUUUAAGCUUUUAAGUGACAUCUUUGAUAUAUAUAAAUAAAUAUAAAAUUAACAGCAAAAUAUAAAGAAAAAAAACACAAUAUAAUAUUUUAACAAAAUGUAGUGGGGAUGACGUCAGUGAUGUAGUUGCGGCACGACGACAGGAAGACACGAAACGACGACACGACGACAUGAAGAUACGACGAACGAACAGGGAGGAAGGCAUUAAAAGUUGGAGUGUGGGUAGAAUAAUGUUUAUUCUACCGAAGUGAAUACAGAGUCAUAUUGAACCUGAAACUUUCUGAGAGCAACCGGUUAAAAGGCAUAGUAAGGACACUCACUCAAUGAAGAGCGUACAUGAACUAAACGCUAGAGACGAGUUGUAGAGUAUUGGUAGCCAGGAAGGAUAUUCGUUCUUCCGUAAAAGUUUGCAGCGUGAUUUAACUGAGGUCAUCUAAUUUUAAUAAGGUUUGUUAUAAUAAUAAAAAAUAAUAGGUCCAAAUCUGUACGAUAUAAAAAAAUAUAAAUCGAUAUUUAAGACAAAUCAAAUUUUUUUUAGUCUUUAUUGGCUAUCUGUAUUUCGGCCGUAAGUCACGCUGAAAGUACUGAAUUGUGUUUCUCUAUAACACGCCAGCUAACCGAGUGGCAUUUUCAACCGAUUUGCCUCUAUUCAGUGGUUUGAACUUUAGACUUUAAGUAUUUAACUGACUUUGACUAAAACAGUCAUCUGUCUUGCCUUAUCGCAAUUUUUCUUUUUUAACCCUUCAACAUAGAUGGAGACUUUAGCUUUUUUACUCUUCCAUACCAGUUCUCGCUUUCUUUUCUCUUGCACUUUCAUUCCUCAUACUUUGUCUUACUUGCGUACAACUCAGCCUGACAAGGGGUAGAGUUCACCUCUAACUAACUUAUGUACCUACUUACAUUUUACGGAAUAAAGUAAAGAACACGGAAACUUUAUUUAAAUAAUAAUAACAACAACUCGAAAACUAGUAGAAAUUUUACAAAAUAGUUUGCCAUAAAGUUUGAUUAUAGCUGAAAAGUUUGUUUAUUUGUUUAAAAUUACCUAUCUAUUAUGUUAUGUAUGUUAUGUAUGUAUAUGUAUUUAUGUUUGUAUGUAUGUGUGUAUGUAUAUAUAUGUAUAUGUAUGUAUAUAUAAAUGUAAGGUAUGUAUGAUAUGAUAUGUAUGUGUGUAUGCAUUUAUACUUGUAAGUUUGUAAUACAUUACAGUUAUUCAACUAUUUUCUUUACAUUGUUAUUUCUUGCACUGUGUCCCCCGCUAUAUGACACUCUCUCUCAUGACCAUUGGUUGACUGGAAGAGAUCUCUUCUAGGGAUAAGUCCACCUUUGCCAUCAACUAUAUAUGUAAUUUUCUGUAUAUUCUGUUUUUUAAGUGCAAUAAUGUAUAUAAAUAAAAGGGCUAAUCUCAGAAACUACUGGUUUGAAUGGAAAGGUUACCAUUUCCUGAAGAAGGCUAUAGACUUUUUUUUUCUUUAAAUUAUCGCGGGUGAAAUGGCGGAGCACAACUAGUUAUAUAUAAUGUACAACUAUAGUAAUGCAUAUAACAUCACCAAUAUUUUUUACUAAGGCUUAUGAUGUCAGAGGUCGUAAUUGCUAUUUAUCAGAAACUUACUAUAUUAUUGAUAGCA